GGGCCUUUAGCUCAGUUGGCAGAGCAACCGGCUCAUAACCGGUCGGUCCGGGGUUCGAAUCCCUGAAGGCCCACCA
rnacentral:tRNA from 1 species